UAGACGCCGGCGGCAGGCUUAACACAUGCAAGUCGAGCGGUAGCACAGGGGAGCUUGCUCCCUGGGUGACGAGCGGCGGACGGGUGAGUAAUGUCUGGGAAACUGCCUGAUGGAGGGGGAUAACUACUGGAAACGGUAGCUAAUACCGCAUAACGUCGCAAGACCAAAGAGGGGGACCUUCGGGCCUCUUGCCAUCAGAUGUGCCCAGAUGGGAUUAGCUAGUAGGUGGGGUAAUGGCUCACCUAGGCGACGAUCCCUAGCUGGUCUGAGAGGAUGACCAGCCACACUGGAACUGAGACACGGUCCAGACUCCUACGGGAGGCAGCAGUGGGGAAUAUUGCACAAUGGGCGCAAGCCUGAUGCAGCCAUGCCGCGUGUGUGAAGAAGGCCUUCGGGUUGUAAAGCACUUUCAGCGAGGAGGAAGGUGGUGAGCUUAAUACGCUCAUCAAUUGACGUUACUCGCAGAAGAAGCACCCGGCUAACUCCGUGCCAGCAGCCCGCGGUAAUACGGAGGGUGCAAGCGUUAAUCGGAAUUACUGGGCGUAAAGCGCACGCAGGCGGUUUGUUAAGUCAGAUGUGAAAUCCCCGGGCUCAACCUGGGAACUGCAUUUGAAACUGGCAAGCUAGAGUCUCGUAGAGGGGGGUAGAAUUCCAGGUGUAGCGGUGAAAUGCGUAGAGAUCUGGAGGAAUACCGGUGGCGAAGGCGGCCCCCUGGUACGAAGACUGACGCUCAGGUGCGAAAGCGUGGGGAGCAAAC
rnacentral:rRNA from 1 species